rnacentral:rRNA from 1 species
UACGAAGGGGGCUAGCGUUGUUCGGAAUUACUGGGCGUAAAGCGCACGUAGGCGGACUAUUAAGUCAGGGGUGAAAUCCCGGGGCUCAACCCCGGAACUGCCUUUGAUACUGCUAGUCUCGAGUCCGGAAGAGGUGAGUGGAAUUCCGAGUGUAGAGGUGAAAUUCGUAGAUAUUCGGAGGAACACCAGUGGCGAAGGCGGCUCACUGGUUCGGUACUGACGCUGAGGUGCGAAAGCGUGGGGAGCAAACAGG